rnacentral:rRNA from 1 species
UACGGGGGGGGCAAGCGUUGUUCGGAAUUACUGGGCGUAAAGAGCGUGUAGGCGGCCAGACAGGUCCGUUGUGAAAACUCGAGGCUCAACCUCGAGACGCCGAUGGAAACCGUCUGGCUAGAGUCCGGAAGAGGAGAGUGGAAUUCCUGGUGUAGCGGUGAAAUGCGCAGAUAUCAGGAAGAACACCCGUGGCUAAGGCGGCUCUCUAGUACGGUACUGACGCUGAGACGCGAAAGCGUGGGGAGCGAACAGG